rnacentral:rRNA from 1 species
AAAAGAAACUAACAAGGAUUCCCCUAGUAACGGCGAGUGAAGAGGGAAGAGCUCAAAUUUUAAAUCUGCCUUGUUUCAAGGUCGAGUUGUAAUUUGAAGAAGCGUUUUCUUGGGCUCGCGGCCGGUAGAAGUUCUUUGGAACAGGACAUCAUAGAGGGUGACAAUCCCGUCUGCGACCGGUCGUGCGUUCAUCUACGAUACGCUUUCAAAGAGUCGAGUUGUUUGGGAUUGCAGCUCCAAAUGGGUGGUAAACAUCACCUAAGGCUAAAUAUUGGCGAGAGACCGAUCGCGAACAAGUACCGUGAGGGAAAGAUGAAAAGAACUUUGAAAAGAGAGUUAAACAGUACGUGAAAUUGUUGAAAGGGAAACGAUUGAAGUCAGUCGUGCUGGCGCGAAAUCAACCCUCUCGUCGAGAGGUCACAUGGCGUGGCGAGCCUCAAAACCGUCACGAAGCGUGAACUCUUGGCGARRRGGAGCACUUUCGUGUCCGCUGGUUAACAUCAAUUUCGAACGUCAUAAAAAGGCUGGAGGGAUGUGGCUCCUUCGGGAGUGUUAUAACCUUUANCGGAAUGUGGUGGUCGGGAUUGAGGAUUGCAACUAAUACCUUUAGGGCUGUUCCACCUGGCUUCUCUUUGGUAUCCUGGUGAAGACAGCUUGCUGACUUUGUUAGGAUUCGCCUUUGAACAGGCUACAGUGUGAGCAAAUUCGUUAAGGAUGUUAACGUAAUGGCUUUAAACGACCCGUCUUGAAACACGGACCAAGGAGUCUAGCAUAUAUGCGAGUGUUUGAGUGUUGAAACUCGAGCGCGAAAUGAAAGUGAUAUUGGUAAGAUCCUCUUCCCCUCGGGGGAGCGGAGCAUUAUCGACCGAUCUGGAUAUUCUUUGAUAGAUUUGAGUAAGAGCAUAUCUGUUAGGACCCGAAAGAUGGUGAACUAUG